rnacentral:rRNA from 1 species
AUUGAACGCUGGCGGCAUGCCUUACACAUGCAAGUCGAACGGCAGCACGGGGGCAACCCUGGUGGCGAGUGGCGAACGGGUGAGUAAUAUAUCGGAACGUACCCGGAAAUGGGGGAUAACGUAGCGAAAGUUACGCUAAUACCGCAUAUGCCCUAAGGGGGGAAAGCGGGGGGAUUCGCAAGAACCUCGCGUUUUCGGAGCGGCCGAUAUCGGAUUAGCUAGUAGGUGAGGUAAAGGCUCACCUAGGCGACGAUCCGUAGCUGGUCUGAGAGGACGACCAGCCACACUGGAACUGAGACACGGUCCAGACUCCUACGGGAGGCAGCAGUGGGGAAUUUUGGACAAUGGGCGCAAGCCUGAUCCAGCCAUGCCGCGUGAGUGAAGAAGGCCUCGGUUGU